rnacentral:rRNA from 1 species
GAUGAACGCUGGCGGCGUGCCUAAUACAUGCAAGUCGAGCGAACAGAUGAGGAGCUUGCUCCUCUGACGUUAGCGGCGGACGGGUGAGUAACACGUGGAUAACCUACCUAUAAGACUGGGAUAACUUCGGGAAACCGGAGCUAAUACCGGAUAAUAUAUUGAACCGCAUGGUUCAAUAGUGAAAGACGGUUUUGCUGUCACUUAUAGAUGGAUCCGCGCCGCAUUAGCUAGUUGGUAAGGUAAAGGCUUACCAAGGCGACGAUGCGUAGCCGACCUGAGAGGGUGAUCGGCCACACUGGAACUGAGACACGGUCCAGACUCCUACGGGAGGCAGCAGUAGGGAAUCUUCCGCAAUGGGCGAAAGCUUGACGGAGCAACGCCGCGUGAGUGAUGAAGGUCUUCGGAUCGUAAAACUCUGUUAUUAGGGAAGAACAAAUGUGUAAGUAACUAUGCACGUCUUGACGGUACCUAAUCAGAAAGCCACGGCUAACUACGUG